CAUCAUCAGAGUGGGCUUAAUAAACAAAAUACGAGCCAAGGCAAUACGCAUUCUCCAACCACCACUUAGUUCGUUGGUGCGUUUGGCAAUCAUUUCGUCAGUGAAUUGAAGACCACGGAGAAUUUUAUAUACACGAUGAUCACUAUUCUCUGUUUCAAGGUCCGUUAAGCGUGUUUGAAUAGUAUCUAAUUCUACAGCAUUUUUAUCAGGAUCAUCAAGCAAGUCCUCCAUCAUUGCUUCCAAAUGUUUACGCUCUUGUUCAUUGAUAUCCAAAACUGCUUCAACGCAAGUAAGUUCGUUGGGAAUAUAUUCACGGUCCAAUAAAUAAAAGUCCAAAGAGGAAGGAGUAGGGAUCAAGCCACAAGCAAUUGCAUGAAGUAACGUGGACUUACCACUACCAUUCGGCGCAAUUAAGCCGUAACGGCGACCAUUAAUUAAAUUCAACUCUGAAUCUUUAAUUAGAAGCUUUCCCCAUGCAGAAACGGAAAGUUUUUCAACCUGUAGGUCACGACUAUUUGGAGGACUUAAUAAGUUCCCGGUGACUGUAAUACCAUCUGCAGGGUUACUACCAUCAGGGGCGACUUUUUGACCAGAAGCGUAUGCAAAAAUAAGGCGGCCACUUGGAAGACCAUCUUUAAACGCGUCGGUUUUAUUCAAAGGAGCAGCAUUUGCGUCGUUGUCCUUGUUUUCGCUUUCCAACAUACUAGCGAGUUUACGAGCCUUUUCCUCUUUUUUGCGAGUCUUUCUAUCUUUUUUAGGAGCAUCAUCGUUCUCUUUAGAUUUCUUUUUCUUUUUCUUAUCCUUUUCAGAUGAUUCAAUAUCUCCAUCAUCCAAAGCUUCACUCCCAUCAUCCUUAGAUUUUGACUUCUUUUUCUUCUUCUUUGAUUUUUCAGAUGACUCACUCUCUUCCUCAUCUAGAGAGAGAUCGUCCAUGUCGUCAGCAAGUGCAUCAAAUGCAUUCUUAGGACUAGCCUUUUUGCUAGAUUUUUUAUUCUUGCGAACUGGCUUUUCGGAGUCCUCUUCUUCCUCUUCUUCAACGCUUUGUUCAUCAGCAAAAGCUUCAAAAGCAUUAGCCUUGGCCUUUUUAGAUUUUUUAGAAGGCUUUUUUUUCACAGGAACAACUUCCUCAUCUACUUCAUCGUCUUCCGGCUUCAGAUCAUAAUUGGAGUCGUUAUCACUAUUGAAAGCACUUGCUUUAUUCAGUUUCUUUUUGUUCUUCUUUGCUUUGGAUUUAGUUACAGGUUGAGGGCUUUCACUCUCAAUCUCACUUUGUAAGCUUUCAAGCUCCAAAUCAGCAUCACGUUGAGUUGAACGCUUUCCCCUAGCCAUUAUCAAAUUAUUCUUGUUAAGAU